AAUGAACGCUGGCGGCAGGCCUAACACAUGCAAGUCGAACGGGUCCUUCGGGACUAGGUGGCGGACGGGUGAGUAACGCGUGGGAACGUGCCCCUUGGUACGGAAUAGCCCCGGGAAAUGGGAGUAAUACCGUAUGUGGUCGAGAGACGAAAGAUUUAUCGCCAAGGGAUCGGCCCGCGUUGGAUUAGCUAGUUGGUGGGGUAAAGGCCCCACCAAGGCGACGAUCUGUAGCUGGUCUGAGAGGACGACCAGCCACACUGGGACUGAGACACGGCCCAGACUCCUACGGGAGGCAGCAGUGGGGAAUUUUGGACAAUGGGCGCAAGCCUGAUCCAGCAAUGCCGCGUGCAGGAAGAAGGCCUUCGGGUUGUAAACUGCUUUUGUACGGAACGAAAAGGCUCUGGUUAAUACCUGGGGCUCAUGACGGCACCGUAAGAAUAAGCACCGGCUAACUACGUG
rnacentral:rRNA from 1 species